CCUCAGCCCUCAGCAGGAAGGGAGCUAAGGGCCAACGCAGCUGGUUAUUAAAGAAGUUUAUCUGGAUUGUUUUUAAUGAGGGAUUUCUCACUUCAUUAAAACAGAAGAAACAGUAUAUUCCGGGCCCUGAGAGGAAUCCACUUCUUUUUCGUGGACGAAGCCCCUUGGGCACAGAUGCACUGAAGAAGAUGGGCACACAAAAGCACAGGAACUCAACCGUGUGUGUUCAACCCACAAGCACGCAUCUCCGUGCUGCGUGGACCCCGAGGGAGGCAGCAGGUCCGAGCUGGGAGGCGGCCCUGUUCCGGCCUCUGUCAGUGACUUCGAGGCCUCACAGCCCAGCCGCGGCGACAGGCUCCCUGAGAAGUCGCCACAGAGAAGGCUCAUCAUCUUUUCCCCUGUUCAUCACUAAGAGAUUUCUUUCGAAUUCUUCGUACUACAGUGUCACGGCAAACAGAGAACCCUGAAGCAGUGGGCUACAGGAGAGGACUGGGGUAUUCUGUGAGGGGCCAGAACCAGAAACCCUGGGGUGUGACCGACCUUCCCGAGGGCUGGCGUGCUCAGUCCCAUGAAUGACAACUCAGGUUCGUAAAGAGUGACCCUUCCUCACCUGGCUCCAACUUCUAUGUGUGGAGGCCGAGCUCCUGGGAAAACCAAAGGGAGGGCAGUGUGACCAAAAGAAGAGACUGUGUCAUCACUUGGGAAUAAAAGCAUCAAACGCAGCCACAGCUCCCAAAACAACCUGCUACUCAACCCCCAGGAAUCUGGUCUGGGCUGUUGUGUUCCGCCUCCCAAGGUUCCAGGUGUCCCAGAAACCCAGCAAACCGAUGCUUGGGACUCCCAGAGAAGAAGGCGUCUAGGAGGACUGACCUCCUGGAACUCGGCCUGAUCAGCAUCCACUCUUGCUGGUCCCCGGCCCUGUUACCCUCUUAGGAGCCCUGCUGACACCCUCCGAGAGACUCGGGGCACCGCAGCUGGGGUGUGGCAGCGAGGACUGGAGUCAGAGCCAGGAGCAUCUUCAGCGGCUGAAUCCUGUAGAGAAGGAACUUGGCAGGCUCCAGGACUAGAACCAGAGAAGGAGACUGACUCCUGACAGCGUAUAACCAUCGGCACGUCGCAAACAUCUGCACGUGUGGGAUUUAUCCUGAGUCUCUCAAUGCUCCCAGUAAACAGAAAUUACUAUUUAUCCUUUGAUGCUGCAGAGGCAAGUUCAGGGCCUUAAAGUGAUGCCCACCACCAAUAGCUGGGGACUGUACCUGGGAUCCUGAUGCUGUAGGCUACACACAGCACCAAGCUGGCUCUUCCUUUUCUGCCUGGAUGUUUACAUGCCCUGGCUCAGUCCCUCAUUUCAUUCGGUCCGCGUGGCCUGCCGUCUCCACAGAAGCCCUCCCUGAU